UAUAAUGAUGACAAAGAAGACGCAGUUCCGUUCAUUCGAGGACAAUUGCUCCCAGUCACACCUCUGCAGGAGACGCUGGCACGCGCACAGGUCCUCAUCGAUAUCACAGGCCACAACUUCACCCCUCCAAGGCGAAGAUGCUCAAAAAGAGAUACAUGCUCCUCCCUAGAAGUUAUAGAUCUAAGUGAAGAUGAUC